rnacentral:rRNA from 1 species
UACGAAGGGGGGCUAGCGUUGUUCGGAAUUACUGGGCGUAAAGCGCACGUAGGCGGGCGUUAAGUCAGGGGGUGAAAUCCCGGAGCUCAACUCCGGAACUGCCUUUUGAUACUGGUCGUCUAGAGAUCGGAAAGAGGUGAGUGGAAUUCCCCAGUGUAGAGGUGAAAUUCGUAGAUAUUUGGGAAGAACACCAGUGGCGAAGGCGGCUCACUGGUCCGAUACUGACGCUGAGGUGCGAAAGCGUGGGGAGCAAAAGGG